CUAGCGACUUCAGAGUUUGAUCCUGGCUCAGGAUGAACGCUAGCGACAGGCCUAACACACGCAAGUCGAGGGGCAGCAUUUAAUAAGCUUGCUUAUUAAGAUGGCGACCGGCGCACGGGUGAGUAACACGUAUGUAAUCUGCCUGUAACAGGGGAAUAACCCGGAGAAAUUCGGACUAAUACCCCAUAACAUCAAAAUGUUGCAUGAAAUUUUGAUUAAAGGAUUUCCGGUUACAGAUGAGCAUGCGUAUCAUUAGCUAGUUGGUAGAGUAACGGCCUACCAAGGCAACGAUGAUUAGGGGUUCUGAGAGGAAGAUCCCCCACACUGGUACUGAGACACGGACCAG
rnacentral:rRNA from 1 species